rnacentral:rRNA from 1 species
AUUGAACGCUGGCGGCAGGCCUAACACAUGCAAGUCGGGCGAGCGGAGUACGGGAGAGAAAUGUAUGGGGAUCUGCCUGAUGGAGGGGGAUAACAACUGGAAACGGUAGCUAAUACCGAAUAGCAUAAGCUGAACCCAUAUGGGAUUAGCUUGUAGGUAAGGUAACGGCUUACCUAGGAGACGAUCCCUAGCUGGUCUGAGAGGAUGAUCAGCCACACUGGGACUGAGACACGGCCCAGACUCCUACGGGAGGCAGCAGUGGGGAAUAUUGCACAAUGGGCGCAAGCCUGAUGCAGCCAUGCCGCGUGUAUGAAGAAGGCCUUCGGGUUGUAAAGUACUUUCAGUCGGGAGGCGUUACCGACAGAAGAAGCACCGGCUAACUCCGUGCCAGCAGCCGCGGUAAUAC